rnacentral:miRNA from 1 species
AGCACUCGGGUCUGCAAGCUC